rnacentral:sRNA from 1 species
CCAGUUGGCACAACCCCUGCUUUAUCCCCACUGAACAGACAUCGCGCUCGGCCCUCAACGACGACAGCCAGCGCUUCCCGAAUGAAUCGGGGAACAGGACAAAGGCGUCCUUGCCGGAUAACCGGCGGGACGCC